GCUGGGUAUGGUGGCGCGUGCCUGUGAUCCCAGCUACUCAGGAGGCUGAGGUGGGAGGAUCGCUUGAGCCUAGGAGGUGGAGGCUGCAGUGAGCUGUGAUCUGCACUGCACUCCAGCCUGGGCGACAGAGUGAGUCCCUGUCUUCU
rnacentral:SRP_RNA from 1 species